AACUGAUUUUUAUGCUGUUCCCUCGAAAAUUUUCAGGAUCUCGCGAGAGCCUUUGUUCAGGUUCUUGGUAAUGAAAAAGCAAGCAAGCAAAUAUUUAACAUCUCCGGUGAGAAAUAUGUUACCUUUGAUGGAUUAGCUAAGGCAUGCGCUAAGGCCGCUGGAUUCCCUGAGCCUGAGAUAAUUCACUACAACCCCAAGGAGUUCGAUUUUGGUAAAAAGAAACCAUUUCCUUUCCGUGACCAGCAUUUCUUUACAUCAAUUGAAAAGGCAAAGAGUGUGCUGGGGUGGAAACCAGAAUUCAACUUGGUGGAAGGUCUUGCAGAUUCUUACAACCUAGACUUUGGUCAGGGGACAUUUAGGAAAGAAGCUGAUUUCGAGACAGACGAUAUUAUUCUUGGAAAAAGUCUUGUUCUCCAGAGUUAGGUCAUUGGUUUCUCUUCUAUUGAUUUUAUCCUUUCUUUUAUCAUGGUCGUGCUCUUUCGCAAGUUCAAUAUUUAUUUGUAUAUGCAAAUUUGUGUUCCCUUCUUUUCCUUUGUUUUUCUUGCAUUUUUUA